rnacentral:rRNA from 1 species
GGGCAGCGGGGAUAAGCUUGCUUAUCUGCCGGCGACCGGCGCACGGGUGCGUAACGCGUAUAGAAUCUGCCUUGUACUAGGGAAUAGCCCAGAGAAAUUUGGAUUAAUGCCCUAUAGUAUAUCGUUAUGGCAUCAUAAUGAUAUUAAAGGUUACGGUACAAGAUGACUAUGCGUCCCAUUAGUUGGUUGGUGAGGUAACGGCUCACCAAGACUGCGAUGGGUAGGGGCCCUGAGAGGGGGAUCCCCCACACUGGUACUGAGACACGGACCAGACUCCUACGGGAGGCAGCAGUGAGGAAUAUUGGACAAUGGGCGGGAGCCUGAUCCAGCCAUGCCGCGUGCAGGAAGACGGUCCUAUGGAUUGUAAACUGCUUUUAUACGGGAAGAACAAGGGGCACGUGUGCCCUUCUGACGGUACCGUAAGAAUAAGGAUCGGCUAACUCCGUGCCAGCAGCCGCGGUAAUACGGAGGAUCCAAGCGUUAUCCGGAAUCAUUGGGUUUAAAGGGUCCGUAGGCGGGCCAUUAAGUCAGGGGUGAAAGUUUGCGGCUCAACCGUAAAAUUGCCCUUGAUACUGGUGGUCUUGAGUUAUAGUGAAGUGGCUAGAAUAUGUAGUGUAGCGGUGAAAUGCAUAGAUAUUACAUAGAAUACCGAUUGCGAAGGCAGGUCACUAACUAUACACUGACGCUGAUGGACGAAAGCGUGGGGAGCGAACAGGAUUAGAUACCCUGGUAGUCCACGCCGUAAACGAUGGAUACUAGCUGUUCGGGCGCAAGCCUGAGCGGCCAAGCGAAAGUGAUAAGUAUCCCACCUGGGGAGUACGUUCGCAAGAAUGAAACUCAAAGGAAUUGACGGGGGCCCGCACAAGCGGUGGAGCAUGUGGUUUAAUUCGAUGAUACGCGAGGAACCUUACCAGGGCUUAAAUGUAGUCUGACAGCUUUAGAGAUAGAGUUUUCUUCGGACAGAUUACAAGGUGCUGCAUGGUUGUCGUCAGCUCGUGCCGUGAGGUGUCAGGUUAAGUCCUAUAACGAGCGCAACCCCUGCCGUUAGUUGCCAGCAUGU